CAUGAUCCGGAGGUGUUCCGAAAAUAUUAUCGGAUGACACCAGAGACAUUCGAAAAACUACAUUCGUUGCUAGAAACAAGGCUUUCAAAGCAGUGGGUUUUACGGGAGCCCGUGCCCUCACGAUGCCGCCUUGCCAUCACAUUGAGAUACCUAGCAUCGGGGAUGCAAAUUAAAGAUGUUGCCAUGGCAUUUAAGGUAGGCAUAUCGACUACAAGUAACAUUGUGAAGGAAGUAUGUGCACUUCUGUGGGAUGUCCUUCGACCCAAGUGUAUGAAGUUCCCAGCAAACGUUGAGCAGUGGCAGGAUAUUGCCAAGGGCUUUGAGAGCAGGUGGGAUUUCCCACACUGCAUAGGUGCUGUGGAUGGGAAGCAUGUCCAAAUAGAAGCCCCUCCGCAUUCGGGAUCUCAAUGUUUUAAUU